ensembl:rRNA 5S_rRNA 5S ribosomal RNA
CCCGGGUUGGCCAUAUCACCCUGCAGCCCAACACUGAUUACUCACUACAGCUAAGCAGGGCUGAGCCUGGUCAGAAUGUGUAUGGGAAACCACCUGGGAAAGCUCGGUUGCUGCCGGAA